AGCGAACGCUGGCGGCAGGCCUAACACAUGCAAGUCGAGCGCCCCGCAAGGGGAGCGGCAGACGGGAGAGUAACACGUGGGAACGUACCCUUCGGUUCGGAACAACCCAGGGAAACUUGGGCUAAUACCGGAUACGUCCGAAAGGAGAAAGAUUUAUCGCCGAGGGAUCGGCCCGCGUCUGAUUAGCUAGUUGGUGGGGUAAUGGCCCACCAAGGCGACGAUCAGUAGCUGGUCUGAGAGGAUGAUCAGCCUCACUGGGACUGAGACACGGCCCAGACUCCUACGGGAGGCAGCAGUGGGGAAUAUUGGACAAUGGGCGCAAGCCCGAUCCAGCCAUGCCGCGUGGGUGAUGAAGGCCCUAGGGUUGUAAGGCCCUUUCGGCGGGGAAGAUAAUGACGGUACCCGCAGAAGAAGCCCCGGCUAACUUCGUGCCAGCCGCCGCAGUAAAAC
rnacentral:rRNA from 1 species